GACGUAGGGGGCAAGCGUUGUCCGGAAUCAUUGGGCGUAAAGCGCUCGUAGGUGGAUCGGUAAGUCUGCAACGAAAGACCCGGGCUCAACUCGGGGAACGGUGUGGAUACUACCGAUCUUGAGGCAAUCAGAGGAUGAUGGAAUUCCCGGUGUAGCGGUGAAAUGCGUUGAGAUCGGAAGGAACGCCCGUGGCGAAAGCGAGCUCCUGGACGUUCACUGACGCUGAGACGCGAAAGCCAGGGGAGCGAACGGG
rnacentral:rRNA from 1 species